GGGUUAGAAGCUUAUACAGCGUCGGUCUUGUAAAUCGAAGAUUGGGGAUCAUCUUUUCCCCCUAGUCCU
rnacentral:tRNA from 1 species